UGACGCAGCAACGCCGCGUGGGUGAAGAAGGCCUUCGGGUCGUAAAGCCCUUUCGGACGGGACGAACGCUCCGCGGGGACAAGCCGCGGAGUCUGACGGUACCGUAGGAAUAAGUCCCGGCUAACUACGUGCCAGCAGCCGCGGUAAAACGUAGGGGACGAGCGUUAUCCGGAUUUACUGGGCGUAAAGCGCCCGUAGGCGGCUCUGUAAGUUGGACGUGAAAGCUCCCGGCUUAACUGGGAGAGGCCGUUCAAAACUGUGGGGCUAGAGUGAGGCAGAGGAGCGCGGAAUUCCCGGUGUAGUGGUGGAAUGCGUAGAUAUCGGGAGGAACACCAGUGGCGAAAGCGGCGCUCUGGGCCUAAACUGACGCUGAGGGGCGAAAGCGUGGGGAGCGAACGGGAUUAGAUACCCCGGUAGUCCACGCCGUAAACGAUGGAGACUAGGUGUAGGCGGAUAGAACCCCGUCUGUGCCGAAGCCAACGCGUUAAGUCUCCCGCCUGGGGAGUACGGCCGCAAGGUUA
rnacentral:rRNA from 1 species